UGGGGAAUCUUGCGCAAUGGGGGCAACCCUGACGCAGCAACGCCGCGUGUGUGAAGAAGGCCUUCGGGUCGUAAAGCACUGUCAGGAGGGAAGAAAACCGGCAAGUCCGGCGUGACGGUACCUCCUAAGGAAGCACCGGCCAACUCCGUGCCAGCAGCCGCGGUAAUACGGAGGGUGCAAGCGUUGUUCGGAAUCAUUGGGCGUAAAGCGCGCGCAGGCCGCCCGUUAAGUCUGGUGUGAAAGCCCGGGGCUCAACCCCGGAAUGGCAUCGGAAACUGGCGGGCUUGAGUCCGAGAGGGGUCAGUGGAAUUCCUGGAGUAGGGGUGAAAUCCGUAGAUAUCAGGAGGAACACCAGCGGCGAAGGCGGCUGACUAGAUCGGAACUGACGCUGAGGCGCGAAAGCGUGGGUAGCAAACA
rnacentral:rRNA from 1 species